rnacentral:rRNA from 1 species
AACGAACGCUGGCGGCAUGCCUAACACAUGCCAGUCGAACGAGACCUUCGGGUCUAGUGGCGCACGGGUGCGUAACGCGUGGGAACCUGCCCUUAGGUUCGGAAUAACUCCCCGAAAGGGGUGCUAAUACCGGAUAAUGUCUUCGGACCAAAGAUUUAUCGCCUUUGGAUGGGCCCGCGUUGGAUUAGCUAGUUGGUAGGGUAAAAGCCUACCAAGGCGACGAUCCAUAGCUGGUCUGAGAGGAUGAUCAGCCACACUGGGACUGAGACACGGCCCAGACUCCUUCGGGAGGCAGCAGUGGGGAAUAUUGGACAAUGGGCGAAAGCCUGAUCCAGCAAUGCCGCGUGAGUGAUGAAGGCCUUAGGGUUGUAAAGCUCUUUUACCCGGGAUGAUAAUGACAGUACCGGGAGAAUAAGCUCCGGCUAACUCCGUG